rnacentral:tRNA from 1 species
GCCCCCGUAGCCCAAUGGCAGAGGCCGUCGCCUUAAACGCGAUGCCAGUGUCGGUUCGACUCCGACCGGGGGCA